UACGUACUCCUUCGGUUCCGAAUUACUUGUCGCAAGUAUGGAUGUAUCUAGAUGUAUUUUAGUUGUAGAUACAUCCAUUUUUACGACGAGUAAUUUGGAACGGAGGAAGUACAUC
rfam:Triticum aestivum genome assembly, contig: Triticum_aestivum_CS42_TGACv1_scaffold_374627_5AL